CCGAGUUUACAACUCCCAAACCCAUGUGAACAUACCUAUAUGUUGCCUUCGGCGGGAUGCCAGGCGCCUCGGUGCCCCGUAAACGGACGGCCCGCCUAGGAUCACUAACUCUGUUUUAUUGGAAUCUUCUGAGUAGUACAAAUAAAUCA
rnacentral:misc_RNA from 1 species